rnacentral:rRNA from 1 species
AAAGUCAGAGGUUCGAAGGCGAUCAGAUACCGCCCUAGUUCUGACCAUAAACGAUGCCAGCCAGCGAUCCGGCUGUGUUCCUCAAAUGACACGCCGGGCAGCUUCCGGGAAACCAAAGCUUUUGGGUUCCGGGGGAAGUAUGGUUGCAAAGCUGAAACUUAAAGGAAUUGACGGAGGGGCACCACCAGAAAUGGAGCUUGCGGCUUAAUUUGACUCAACACGGGAAAACUUACCCGGCCCGGACACAGAAAGGAUUGACAGAUUAAUCGCUCUUUCUCGAUUCUGUGGGUGGUGGUGCAUGGCCGUUCUUAGUUGGUGGAGCGAUUUGUCUGGUUAAUUCCGAUAACGAACGAGACUCUAGCCUACUAAAUAGACGUUCCGAUCAUCUGCGUCGGACGUUCUUCUUAGAGGGACAAGCGGCGUUUAGCCGCACGAGACAGAGCAAUAACAGGUCUGAGAUGCCCUUAGAUGUCCGGGGCCGCACGCGUGCUACAUUGAAGGAAUCAGCGUGUGUUUUCCCUGUCCGACAGGACUGGGUAACCCGUUGAACCUCCUUCGUGCUGGGGAUAGGGGAUUGUAAUUGUUCCCCUUGAACGAGGAAUUCCCAGUAAGCACGAGUCAUAAGCUCGUGUUGAUUACGUCCCUGCCCCUUGUACACACCGCCCGUCGCUACUACCGAUUGAAUGAUUUAGUGAGGUCUUCGGACUGGCGCUCGGAGCGGCUUUCGGGUCGCGCCGGCGUGCCGGAAAGAUGACCAAACUUGAUCAUU